AGGGAAGAAAAUGACAGUUACUCCUGAGUUCUACCCUCCUGAGCUCAGAUCAAACCGACUCGGAGAAAAGCACAAAGCAAGAAGGCAUUGCAGGAAACUCCCAACCCCUCUGACAGCUGAGCCCUGCCCCUGUACCUGCUAUGGCCUUCUCUCCAGCAGUGAGGGCUUUGUCUGACUGCAGGAUGGAUUCCUCUACAACCACCUGUGACUGCAGGAAGUUCUGGAGGACCUCGUUUGCCUGAGGAACCAAGAAAGAGCAAAGACCUGUCAGGCAGCAAAGAUCUCAUCUUAUGAUGGCGAAAUUAUUGUUCAAUAAAGUCACAAAUCUAACCCUGUAA